UGAGGUAAAGGCUUACCUAGGCGACGAUGUGUAGCCGGUCUGAGAGGAUGAACGGCCACAAUGGGACUGAGACACGGUCCAUACUCCUACGGGAGGCAGCAGUGGGGAAUAUUGCACAAUGGGGGAAACCCUGAUGCAGCAACGCCGCGUGAGUGAAGAAGGUUUUCGGAUUGUAAAGCUCUGUUAGCAGGGAAGAGGAAGGACGGUACCUGCAGAGGAAGCCACGGCUAACUACGUGCCAGCAGCCGCGGUAAUACGUAUGUGGCAAGCGUUGUUCGGAAUAACUGGGCGUAAAGGAUGCGUAUGCGGUUAAACAAGUUAUAUGUUAAAUAUAUAGGCUUAACCUGU
rnacentral:rRNA from 1 species